rnacentral:lncRNA from 1 species
CUUCUCCCACCCGGCCUCUUCUCUCCUCCCUUCUCUUCCCUCUCUCUUCUCUCUACCGCGACCGCGCCAAGGAUCAAGCGCACGCGACGCCCAACGCCCCGACUGCCUCGACCCGCCUGCGCCCAGGAAGACCCGACGCCGCCAGCGCCCAGGAAGACCCACUUUCGGUAUUCGCGGUCUCGACCGAACCUAAAUCCUUGCCGCUGCCGCCUCCUCUUACUCGCAUGCCGCCGUCGCUCCCCUGGGCACGAACCCGCUGUCGUUCAUCCCGGCGCACGGGAUCGGGCGGUCCGGGGACGCCGGCGGUACACACCCGUCGUCGGUUUCCGCGGGUGGCGCGCCCUGAUGUCACACGACAUGUGCCCGAUCCGCUGUCGCUGUAACUGUUUCCGAGAUUUUGCUCUGUGGGCUUGCUGGAUCCUCUGUCCGCUUCCGCGGGACGUGUUCCCGAAUUUCCAUUUUUUAUUUUUCUUUACUACCUUUUUCUGUUUACUCCAUUUUUUCUCUUAAAAAAACAAGAGCUCUACUAUUUAAACAAGCGGGACUGUUGGGACCAUGCUUCGUCGUCGAAGGUCCUGCAGAAAAAGACAGCUUCGGCUGAAGCUGCUCGUACGUGACGCCGAAGGCACCAUUCAUGAAGCUUCGGUAUUACAGCAUAUCCGAAGAUGAAGGGUCAAACCGACUUAAAGAUAGAAUGACCUUUUAGUCCAUAAGGGUCUGAGUCAUUGUUAUAAACUUUUAUGAGGGGCAUGAUUGUAAUUUCUCACAGGUUGUGUCCUGUGCCUAUAAAUAGUGAACAAUAUCCCUUUACUGUUCACGGAUUCCUGUGAUUGCUAACGCAUCAUUCGGGAAUUAUUGUUUGUCAAGGCAAAGGUAUAAAUGUAUCUAAACAUUGUAUUCAAGUAUCUUAAAUUCAUAUAAUAAGAUAUGUGAAUGAUGUCAUUUAUUUUCAAUGUAUUUAUCUUUAAUGUUUCAUAUUUUACUUUACUUUGUAUUAUCUUUAUAAGUUUAAUUACGAAGGUGAAACCUUCGUAAUAUUAUGCUUGUGACCUUCGUCCGAAGUUUAUUAAAUCCUUGUGGAGAUAAUGCUUCAACGGACGAAGGGCAUUGAUAUUUAACAUUUUAUGUUGCCUUGUUCUUAAUUCAUAGCAUUUGAGAACAAGUCCCCAAUAGGGACGUACAAAUCGAGCACUGAACCUUGUGAGCCCAUGUUCAUUUCUUAUGAGACUAAAUAUGCACUGAACCUUGUGUGCCUUGUAGUAUCUGUAGUAUCUCUCUUUUAAAGAUCAAUAGGAUUCCAAGAUCGACUAUAGUAGCACCAGGCCUCCACUGGCCUAAUCAGUCUCUGACUUAGCUUGUAUUUUACCUCACAUUUCAUUGCAUGUCUCUACACCCUAAGGUCCUAACCACUAGUUUUUUCCACUUGCAGGUAUGUUCCAAUGUUUGUGGAGAUAGAGUAUGAUCCGAACUGCUAGUACACAUCUGUUCUAAUUGAAGAGCAACUGGAGGCUCUUGGAAGAGCAAUAGUUGCUGGCAAGGUAUGUCGUGGUGGUGCUGUUUUUAACUUUCCAAUUUUGAUGAAAAUGUUCAGGCUUCAUAUUUAUUAAUCAGAAACAUACACUGAAGAACCUUUUUCAUAAGUUGUUUUAUAUACCAAAGAUCUACUGUUUGAAAUAGAAGUCCCUUCCUUUUUUUCCUUUUUCUGAAGAAAGAAAUCCUUGUAUGGUGUCUGCCACCAUUUGUAAGAAAUAAACACUGUUUUGCAUUAGGUUUGGGUCAAGCAGUACUUAGAUCAGCUAACUCUCCUUGCUUGGAUCAUCUGUAAAAGCAUAUGACUACAUUUAAGCCUACAAUCACUAUAACAUUUUCGUCGAACAGUCUGGCCAUUGGAUUAUAAUCUAAAUUAUAUAAUCCAGAUUAUAAUCUACUAUAUGUAGCUGUUUGGUAGUCUAGAUUAUAUAAAUGUAGAUUAUAAUUUACUUAUUGUAAUUAUCACUUGUCUUGCAGACAGGCAAUUGAAAAUGAGAAUUGAUCUUUUUUAUGGGCAAAGUGUUGAAGAUGGCUUUGGUGAAGGAAAUGUCUUGUUAGCAUCAAGUAAGUGGCAACAUCACAACCCCUACAAGCUUGUGCCUUAAAACAAGAGGAUACAAGAAGUUGGAGUGCUUUUGUGAUGGCUUUUGCGAAUCACUUGAAGCGUUAGUACUUUUGUGAAUGAUUUUGUAAAGUGUUUGCAAAUAUGUGCAAAACAUAAUAACAUGUGUAGGUUUUGUGAAUGAUUUUGUUGUGGUGCUUGUUGAUGGUUUAUGUGAUGUGGAUCUAUCAUUGUGCAAUACUAAUAAAAUUUG